GCAGCUCGUUGGGGGUGCCCGUGCGGCUUUCGCACGCGCUGAGAAAAACCCUUUGAACCUGAUCCGGAUCGCACCGGCGUAGGGAAACGCUUUCAUGCAGAC
rnacentral:ncRNA from 2 species